rnacentral:lncRNA from 1 species
UUUCAUUCAUUUUCGCUGCUAAAAACUGAAUUCACUGUCUUGGCUCCCAAAAAAAUGCCACUUGCUUCCAACACUCACACUUGUCAUCACGCCUUUACUCUUCCAGUUUUCAAAAAGUCACCAAGAAUUUCUGCAGUAAAAAUUCAGUUCUGGGAGUUAUUGAGUUAUAGGUGCAAUUAAUUCAUAUUUCAUCUCCUAUUUUCCUCAUUUGACUCUAGUUGCCCAUUGUCACCUUCUUCUUCUUCUACUCUUCCAGUUUUCAAAAAGUAGCAAAGAAUUUCUGCAGCAAAAAAUUCAGUUCUGGGAGUUAUUGAGUUAUAGGUGCAAUUAAUUCAUAUUUCAUCUCCUAUUUUCCUCAUUUGACUCUAGUUGCCCAUUGUCACCUUCUUCUUCUGCUUUUUCUUGAAGACAUCAUUCUUCUCCUCCCUUUCUUCCUUCUUUCUUCUUCUUCUUCUCAUCUUGCUUUUCUACUUUUUCUUGAAGACAUCAUCUGGGUUUUUCCUUCUCCUCCCUUUCUUCAUUCUUUCUUCUUGACUUCUCUUUCUUCUUGCCCUUUUGGCUUCCACUCCUUAAAGAAAAUCUGUCGUUUUGUUUUUCUGCUUUUCUGCUUCUUGAAGGCGUAUUUCCUCCUCUGCUUUUUAUGGUCUCUAACUCUCAGCAAGUGAUGGUACUGCUUUUGCUUCUACGGUUUAGUUCAGCUCUAAUCUUAACAUGUAAAGGUGCCACCUGAAUAUAAUCCAUGCAGAAGUGCCUAACCUGUUGCUAACUACUAGUAGUUGACCUCCUAUCAACUUUCGAGCCUGCCCAAUCAACAUCAGAAAAGCAUUCAAUAUUUGAGUGCCCAUGGUUACCAUAGAAUAGGCCUCGCCCUGGGGACCCUUUAAGGUAACAAAGAAUCUGUCCCAAAGCAUCCCACUGAGCAACAAUAGGAGAAGACAUAAACUGACUUACCACACUCACUGAAUAUGCAAUAUCAAGACGAGUCACCGUCAAAUAAUUCAGCUUGCCAACUAAUCUUCUAUACCUUCCAGGAUCUGCAAAUGGCUCACUUACUGUCUUCUGUGGUAAGUUGAAGGUUAGGGGUCAUUGGGGCGCUACAAGGCUUAGCACCCAAUUUUCCUGUUUUUGCCAACAAAUCAAGACAUAUUUUCUUUGAGAUAAGAAAAUGCCUUUCUUACACCGCAUAACUUCG